rnacentral:rRNA from 1 species
GACGAAACGCGGCGGCGUGCCUAAUACAUGCAAGUAGAACGCUGAAGGAGGAGCUUGCUCUUCUGGAUGAGUUGCGAACGGGUGAGUAACGCGUAGGUAACCUGCCUGGUAGCGGGGGAUAACUAUUGGAAACGAUAGCUAAUACCGCAUAAUAUUGAUUAUUGCAUGAUAGUCAAUUAAAAGGUGCAAUUGCAUCACUACCAGAUGGACCUGCGUUGUAUUAGCUAGUUGGUGAGGUAACGGCUCACCAAGGCAACGAUACAUAGCCGACCUGAGAGGGUGAUCGGCCACACUGGGACUGAGACACGGCCCAGACUCCUACGGGAGGCAGCAGUAGGGAAUCUUCGGCAAUGGACGGAAGUCUGACCGAGCAACGCCGCGUGAGUGAAGAAGGUUUUCGGAUCGUAAAGCUCUGUUGUAAGAGAAGAACGAGUGUGAGAGUGGAAAGUUCACACUGUGACGGUAUCUUACCAGAAAGGGACGGCUAACUACGUGCCAGCAGCCGCGGUAAUACGUAGGUCCCGAGCGUUGUCCGGAUUUAUUGGGCGUAAAGCGAGCGCAGGCGGUUAGAUAAGUCUGAAGUUAAAGGCUGUGGCUUAACCAUAGUACGCUUUGGAAACUGUUUAACUUGAGUGCAAGAGGGGAGAGUGGAAUUCCAUGUGUAGCGGUGAAAUGCGUAGAUAUAUGGAGGAACACCGGUGGCGAAAGCGGCUCUCUGGCUUGUAACUGACGCUGAGGCUCGAAAGCGUGGGGAGCAAACAGG